AAAAACAUGUUUAUUUGAAGUUAUAUAUAAUUUGGCCUGCCCCCUGAUUAUUAGUUAAAGGGCCGCAGUAUUAUAACUGUGCAAAGGUAGCAUAAUCAUUAGGUUUUUAAUUGAAAUCUCGUAUGAAUGGUCGGACAAAAGAAAAGCUCUCUUUAUAUUAAUUUUGAAUUUAACUUUUAAGUGAAAAGGCUUAAAUAUACUAAAGGGACGAUAAGACCCUAUAAAACUUUACAUUGUAAUUAUAUUUUAGUAAAUUUAUAAAUAAAGAUUAAAUUUGAUUAUUUGUUAGGCUGGGGAGGUACGAAUAAAUAUUAUUUUAACUGUUUGAUGAUUAUACAAUUAUUAGUGGGUAAGUAAAAGAUCCUUAUUUCAAGAUUAAUAGAUUAAGUUACUUUAGGGAUAACAGCGUAAUUUCUUUUGAGAGUUCUUAUCGAAAGAGAAGAUUGCGACCUCGAUGUUGAAUUAAAAUAUUCUAUAUAAUGAAGAGGUUAUAUAAGAAGGUCUGUUCGACCUUUAAAAUUUUACAUGAUUUGAGUUCAAACCGGUGUGAGCCAGG
rnacentral:rRNA from 1 species